rnacentral:snoRNA from 1 species
GGGGUGUACUCAGAGCAGGGGGCCUGAAGAAUGGCUCCUCUGUUUACAACACCCAACAGGAACCUGGGGUCACUGUAAUGAGGGACACAAAACUUGUGGCCUCCCUAUUAACAAAUGCCCUACAUGA